GGAGCAUGUGGUUUAAUUCGAAGCAACGCGCAGAACCUUACCAGCCCUUGACAUGCCCGGCUACCUACAGAGAUGUAGGGUUCCCUUCGGGGACCGGGACACAGGUGCUGCAUGGCUGUCGUCAGCUCGUGUCGUGAGAUGUUGGGUUAAGUCCCGCAACGAGCGCAACCCUCGCCCUUAGUUGCCAGCAUUUAGUUGGGCACUCUAAGGGGACUGCCGGUGAUAAGCCGAGAGGAAGGUGGGGAUGACGUCAAGUCCUCAUGGCCCUUACGGGCUGGGCUACACACGUGCUACAAUGGUGGUGACAGUGGGCAGCGAGCACGCGAGUGUGAGCUAAUCUCCAAAAGCCAUCUCAGUUCGGAUUGCACUCUGCAACUCGAGUGCAUGAAGUUGGAAUCGCUAGUAAUCGCGGAUCAGCAUGCCGCGGUGAAUACGUUCCCGGGCCUUGUACACACCGCCCGUCACACCAUGGGAGUUGGUUUUACCCGAAGGUAGUGCGCUAACCGCAAGGAGGCAGCUAACCACGGUAGGGUCAGCGACUGGGGUGAAGUCGUAACAAGGUAGCCGUAGGGGAACCUGCGGCUGGAUCACCUCCUUUCUAAGGAAGCCGAUUUUAGCAAGGGUGGCCGUAUGGCCCGCCUGGAUGCCCUUUGAGCGCAAGCGAGAAGGACAAGCUAUCCAGGCCACGCAAAAUCCGCUUUUUAGAACAUAGAUGGCACCAGUCAGGUGACCAUCGAAACGCAAUACGCCGCGUCGACUUCGGUCACGACGGUAUGGCGAGCUUUCGCCGUCCACGUUUCUCUUUCUUCAAGAAGAUAUCGAACCAUUGAGUGCGCUCACGCGCUGUUUGCACCUUCGGUGCUGCGCUCCGCUGGGGCGCCGGACGGCCGGCGACGACUAUCGUCCUGUUGAACAGGAUGAAAGCGAUGGGCCCGUAGCUCAGUUGGUUAGAGCACACGCUUGAUAAGCGUGGGGUCGGUAGUUCAAGUCUACCCGGGCCCACCAUUUGCUUUUGCAGUUUGGUUUGCUCCUGGUUUAACUGAUCCUGGCGGUUUGCUGUCAGGUGUUUGCGAUGGUUGGGGCUGUAGCUCAGCUGGGAGAGCACCUGCUUUGCAAGCAGGGGGUCAGCGGUUCGAUCCCGCUCCAAGCUCCACCAAUUCGCUUUGGUGUUGAACUGAGGGAUUUGAGGUAUCUUCUGAAGAAAAACAAAGUUUGCAUCGUUUGUGACGAUGCCUGUUCUGCAUAUAUCGUGAAGAGAAGAUUGAUCUGGAGGCUUCCAGGUGUUUUGGGUUUUGGCCCAGGGCGUCCGAAGCCGGUUCCAAUGAUGUCGUUGAAGGUCUARCCGACCGGAAACGAAAGAGGAGCCGGAUGUAGGAAGGAAGCUUGUCCUGAGGCAUUGUUGUUGUUUGAAGGCUUUGGCUUUCAUCUGACCGACGGUGCUGGAUUGGCGUUGCCUGACCGCGCGCCCCCGGAUUUGAUCUCGAGAAGCUGGUCUUAAGACAGACUGCGAAGCGAGCUGCUCGGCGUAGCUCCAGUAAAGCAGAUCUGUCGAACACGUCGAUGGCAUCAUUAGAAAGCGUGAUUGUAAAAGGUAAUCACGCAUUGUUGGUCUUUGGAUUUGAUUGUGCGCCAACUGAGAGGUGGUCGGAUGGUCAGAUUUGCAAAGCCAACAAAGAUGAUGAGCAUUGGCAAUGAGAACGAUUAAGUGUCGUAAGGGCAUUUGGUGGAUGCCUUGGCAUGCACAGGCGAUGAAGGACGUGAUACGCUGCGAUAAGCCGUGGGAGCUGCGAAUUAGC
rnacentral:sRNA from 1 species